rnacentral:rRNA from 1 species
UACGUAGGGGGCAAGCGUUAUCCGGAUUUACUGGGUGUAAAGGGAGCGUAGGUGGCUGUGCAAGUCAGAUGUGAAAGCCCAGGGCUCAACCCUGGGACUGCAUUUGAAACUGCAGAGCUAGAGUGCAGGAGAGGUAAGUGGAAUUCCUAGUGUAGCGGUGAAAUGCGUAGAUAUUAGGAGGAACACCAGUGGCGAAGGCGGCUUACUGGACUGUAACUGACACUGAGGCUCGAAAGCGUGGGGAGCAAACAGG